rnacentral:lncRNA from 1 species
CCUCAAUGUACAAGUAAGGUGACAGUUAUAUAAAAUCAUACACAAUAAAAUCAGGACUAUAAUAACAAAAGGAUAGAAGAAUGAUUUCAUUAUCUGAGAUCCAGUAGGGGACCAACCAGUAAAGCAUUGUACCAAUGAUGGGCCAAAUCAUUCUGAAUUUGUGAACUCACCUUAAGGAGUUCUCCUUUUAGGAUAUGUGUGGCUACCUGUGUGUGUUAUCUUUGAGAAAAAUAUAGUCCCCUGUGUAUGUGGGUGCCCACCAGGUUAAAUUCUUGGCAAAAAGAUCAUAAACUGGUACUGGUAAUGUGUUAAAUUGACAAGCUAAUUUAACAUCCUUUGAUGAUGUAUGAUAUAAUGUAAAAUAGCAUGAGCGUGAAAAAUGUGAAACAUUACCAGUUAACCAUUCAUUGCAUUUAGUGGAUUGGGGUUUUAGAAGUAACCAUUCAUUAUCUGUGAGGUUACGCUUUCCUCUAAUCUUCUCUAGUUGAGGAAUCAUUAGUGCGUUUUCUAAUGCCAAUCCUUGUUGUUGUAUCCAUAAAUACCUGAUGGCACAAGUACUCCAGUUACUUAGACCUGUAGUGAAUUUCAUAGUUGCAACAGUUAAAUUAUCUAAAUAAUUAGCAUUGAUUUAUCUAAAUCCAAUCCUGUAACCUGUGAUUUAACAACAGUUGGAGCCCAGUUUGCAGUAGCAUGGAAACCAGUCCCUAUAUGCAUGCUGGCUGUGUUUAACUUAUUCUUGAGGGUCUCCAUAUCUAUAACUAUUUAGUAUACCCAUAGUGGUUCCAGCACCUCCUAACAGUGUGUCAUACCAUUCCCUUUUCUGCCUUUUGUUUGCUGUCUUACAUAAUGUUACAACAGGAGUAGUGAUUUUUAAUGACACAUGUACAGC